UGUGUGCACACAUUUUCCUCAUAAGGAGCGCAGAGGGACGUGUGUGCGCGCGCGCGCGCUCGGAUCUCUAAAUAGAAUCGUCGAACAAUUCGUCGCAGGGAGUGAAAUCGAGUGAAACUGGAUCGCGCGUCACGUUCGCAUGUCAUCCGUGAGACCAGUACGAAUGGCACAGACAUUCGCAGAAACGACAACAGCAAUAACAUCGCCGUGCGAGCAUCAAACGUUGUAUUACGCUAUCUGUACACUCCACCGUGUUUCUCAGCCAUUAUUAUCCGACACAAAAACCCGUGACAUCUCGGACAGGUGCAGACUAAAAAGAAAACGCUCCCCUCUCUUCCUACUCAGCCGGCUUCUCGUGACGCAAUUGUCGAGAGGACAAACUAUCAUAACAUCGAGCAAAACGUAACGAGCAACAAGUAUCGCGCUUUUUUGCGAGGCACGCCAGGAACUUUGGACACGCAGGUUUCUUACGGAGUGCACGUGGCAUGACAGCAGGUCCACGAGGAGGAAGGAGGUGGUCGUGCUGGCGGUGGUGGUGGUGGUGUAAAAGGCGACGGGGAAGGAGGAGAGAACGGACCUCGCCACCCGCACUCCCGUCUGACAAUAAUACGCGCGUGUAAGAGAGGGAGAGGGACAACGCGAGAGGAAACUGGAUAAGAAAGAGAAAGAGAAGGAAAGAGAGAGAGAGAGAGACACAGCGUGAGUGCAUCGUCGUACAUGUGCGAGAGAGAGGGAGUGAUCGUGAUGGUCCUGUUGGUGGACGACCCAGCGCGUUAGUAGUGUGGAGAGAUGACCUCACAGAGAUGGGACUAUCACUCUCUGGGACCCCGGGCCGAAUUAUGGCGCUCACUGGACACUGAUGGUAGUGGGGAGAAGGACCUUUUCGACCUGGUCUGUCUACUAUCCUGCCGCCAACUCUCGAUCGUCUACCUUUUCCUUCGAAUUCACGCUAACGAAUUUCCCGAGAAAUUUAUUUUUGUGCAGAUUAUAAGGUAGCGAGAGAAUAUAAAAAAGAAAAAGAAAAGAGUACACUAAAUUCAGAAAAUCAUUCUGUUUUCCUUUGUAUAAGGUAAACCACACAAUAAUUGGUAUUCCCCCUAUGCAUAUUUCUACCAAAAUGUCGAUUAAGUAUUAAUCUGAGUUUAAAUCUUUAUCCAAAUAGAGCUUAAAUGCAAAUUAAAAUUUAAUUAAUGUUGGUAGAAACGGGCAAUAGUCAUUGGCGCUCAAGAAAAACCAGGUUUUCCUGGCGACCAGCGACAUUUUUUCACAGUUUUAGUUGCGAGGAUCUUUUUUGGAAUCACAUGAAGUGUAGGUAAAAAGCUUAACUGCAAUGCUGGUUGAAGGGUCGUGAAAAAUCAGAUUUUUCUAACCAUAUAAUAAUAAUCUAAUGAUUAAGGGGGAUGCGAAUAAUUGUGGUUAAUCUAGUUGUAGUGGUUUAAUCUAAUUAGUUUGGAGUUUGUUUAUUGAGACGUUUCGAAUCCAACUCGCGCAUUCACGAAUUCACGGAAUAUUUGUCAAGUAUUCGACGUUGUUAUUAUUAUUACGGUGUGACAAUGAUUGUUAUGGCGGCGUAGAUUAGUUUACAAUGAUGUCAAGUUUGCAGACACGGAAAUGUUGAUGAAUCAAUUCGCCUCGAUGGAAGUGUUUUAUCGAAGAACGUUCUCCCAGAGACACGGUGGAGUUCCGCCGCACAAAUUCGCAAAUAAAAAUAGAUCUCUUUGAGCAGCCUACGUGAAACUGACUGCACGACUGUCACGGUUUAAAGCUCCGGAAAGGGCUCCUCUCACCGGGACUUCCAUCGACCAGUCCAUCGACGUUCGACGGACAUGACCUGCCUUCCUGAGGUAUGUCCGCAUCGCGAACGUGACGUAUCGAAACGAAACAUUCGAUUGUGUCCGAUUGGGUUAGCCCUGCCCGUGCCUUUGUAUUUUUGAAAAAAGAGGGGAAAAAAGAUUCGCUGGCCAUCCGGCUGUGAUGCGACUCCUAGUGGUCGGCUUCAAGUAAAAGCCACUGUUUUCCAGCGGGCUCACGUCGCGAUUACAAGGUAUCUCGGUCCGCACGCAUAAUUGGCAUGCCAGCGACAGUAACCGUGAUUUCACAUUCCUCCGCGCUUUCACGCACGAAUCGUCCCCUCCUUCUUUACCGUUCCGCCUCUCUCUUUCUAUCCUCUGUCUGCCUCUCUCUCUCUCUCUCUCUCUUUCGUUAGCUAAAUAUUUCAGUUUGAAAUUCGCGGAACGUAAUAUGCGGAAGAGAUUCGAAGAUGCACCAGCUCAUAUUCUACCUAAGUCCGUUCUCCGUCGAUCGGCGAGAUUCAGCGGACGAGUUUAACGUUGUGUUACGUUAUAUUCGCCGUUACUCUAAACUUUGGAGUCUCAGGAACCUUUGCAGCACAAACCUAGCUAGCAGAAUCGAGUGACACUAACAGCGCAACGAAUAUCAUCGAAGUGUUGAUUAAUACACUCGCAGAUGGCGGCGGCCCAGCGGUCCCAGCUGACCGAUUAUUGUCAUGUUAAUGAGGACGGGAAAAACGAAACAUCACCGGAUGAAGCACACCACGCACAUCUAAUUAUUGCGUAUCCACCAUCGCGUCGACGCUUCUCUCGUCUCACACGCUUCUUCGAUUGGACGUUGUUCACAAUUCUGACACCACGAUCGACGUUGGCUCUAUGUAAAUUUCUCCGACACAAUAGAAGGAGGAUGAGAGAGGGAGAGAGAGGGAGAGAAA